rnacentral:rRNA from 1 species
GACGAACGCUGGCGGCGUGCUUAACACAUGCAAGUCGAACGCUGAAGCUCAGCUUUUGUUGGGUGGAUGAGUGGCGAACGGGUGAGUAACACGUGAGUAACCUGCCCCCUUCUUUGGGAUAACGCCCGGAAACGGGUGCUAAUACUGGAUAUUCACUGGUCUUCGCAUGGGGGUUGGUGGAAAGGGUUUUUCUGGUGGGGGAUGGGCUCGCGGCCUAUCAGCUUGUUGGUGGGGUGAUGGCCUACCAAGGCUUUGACGGGUAGCCGGCCUGAGAGGGUGACCGGUCACAUUGGGACUGAGAUACGGCCCAGACUGCUACGGGAGGCAGAAGUGGGGAAUAUGGCGCAAUGGGGGAAAGCCGGAUGCAGCGACGCGGCGUGAGGGAUGGAGGCCUGCGGGUUGUGAACCUCUUUCGCUCAUGGUCAAGCCGCAACAAUGGUUGUGGUGAGGGUAGUGGGUAAAGAAGCGCCGGCUAACUACGUG